rnacentral:lncRNA from 1 species
GAUGCUCUUCAGGAAGAUUCCUGCUAGCUUAUCUCAGAAGAACAGCAGCCUGUGCGUGAGCCUGUUCCCUUGAGAAUUUCCUCUUCCUUCGGCAGUGUCUUGAAAUGGCCACAUUUUCCAUUUCUGUGACUUCCUGUCAGCUUUUCAAAUGCUCAACUACAAACUAAAGUUAUUCUGGCAUUGACAAUGUGAUCUCAGGAUUUCCACAACUCUAGCUUUCCUCAACAUGAAUAUUGGGAUGAGUUUGGCAGCAGACUGUGUGAUAAGGAGCACUGGCAUGGGAGUCAGAAAGUGUUGUGAACCCUAUAGGGCAAGCGACAUCACCUCUCUCAACCUCACUGUCAUUAACUGUAAGUGAGAGAGUGAAUGAAGGAUGCUUCCAACUGUCAAAUCCUGUAAGUCAAGAGAACCUGUGCUCCAGAGGAGAACAUGUAUAUUGGCAAAAAGCUUCUGCUACACCAUGAACCCCAGAACUGUGAACACGUCCCAGUGGGCAGACAGCUGGCUGCCUACCAAAUCUAUCUUCCCAAUCUUUCAACGUAAUGGUCUAGCCCAGUAUGUGACCUCUCAGUUGGACACUAUAUUUCAAGAGUCCCUUGCUGGGGAAGAGGAAACUAUUUCCAAGAUAAAUUUGGAAAGGCAGCAGGGCCACACAAACUUAUCAAAGCCAAUACCCAGUGAUUAAGUGGGUCUGCCUACGUAAAUCGAGUGUGUGCUGAGGUACACAGUCUCCAAGUGAAAGAAGACCUGUCUGGUAUUUUUCAUAUGCACUUUCUGAAAAAACAAAAACAAAAGCAAAAACAAAUAUGGCGGUAACUUUGGUGCCCAAAGCAAAAAGCCUCAAAACCAAACACUUAAACGACACCAGUAUUGGGAGAAUAAAUGCUGGUGUUUGAGAAUAAAUGCUGUACCAGAAAUGCUGAUUAAAAUAUUAACAAAGCCUUAUCUUUUGCAAGAUCACUUUCCUGUGUAAACUCAGCAGUUUGAAUGGGGUUUGAGUAAUGAUGGACUGAGCAACAACUUCAUCAAGGUUGGGAAGGAAGAAAGCAAUUUUAUGGUAACUGUCGAGUAAUCAGUGAACUAAAGCCUAAAUUGGAACACAUUCACAGAGACGUACACUUCAGAGACUUUUAGCUUUGGAGAAAGAAAAUCCAUUGUAAUAAAAAGUCAAGCAGUCUCUUCAGUUGACACCAAGAAUUCUUCUCAGUUUUCUAUGUGGGAAUGCAAUCCCGUCACAUCAAAUUAUCCAACAGGUUAGUAAAAACAAAUUCAUCUGGAAUUGCUUAUUAUUUCAGUGAUCCAAAUAAACGCCAGUCACUUCAACCUGUGCUUGGUGGCUCCCAGGGACGACUGGGCCUGUCCUGCUGCAGGCUGUGUGGUCCCAGCUGGGCCAGGGGAGCUGGUCAGUUCAGUAAAUGACCUUCAUGAAAAUGGCCUGGGCCCUUCCUUCUCCAGCAUGAUGGAAACAAUUUCUGGAGAGGCCAACAUUUAGAUAAACUCUGGUGGUUUGCACCUUUAUAUAACUUUCCAGAUCUGACCCACAAGCCCAUAGGUAGCCAAGUUCAAACCUCCCCUUAGUUUAUAGAUGUUCUGAGAACAAAUGGGUGAUUGGAGAGAGUCAAUCUACAACUUUGGCCUCAGAACCCAGAGGCUGCAAGUCAUCUUGCUGGUCCUUGCUGUGGAAAUGGUUUACUUUCUUCCUUACUACGUACUGUACAGGAAAGCUGCCCAAAAUGUGUUUUUUGUUUAUUGGUAAAGGGUCUUGUUGGAAUUAAGUUACUUAGGAAUGUGUCUAUUGCAAUUAAAAGAGGCAUAAUGUUUAUAUUAACAUUUUAAAGUUUG